rnacentral:snRNA from 1 species
CGUCUGAUAAAUCAAGCUUCCUG